rnacentral:misc_RNA from 1 species
CACACACACACACACACACACACCACACAUGACAAGGUGCUUUGUAUUUAGAAAGUAUCCUACUUCCAUAACAAUGAUUGAAUGUGAAGUGAAAUGGCCUGAAAGCAAUUGAGUGUACAAGAAGUGGAAUACAUUUUUCAACUAAUUAAAAAAGGAGAAUUAAAAAUUAAAUACACAGAAGGAUGGCCCAUUGAAUAGAAUUUAAUUAUAUAUGGUAGUUUUUAGCAUUCUAUACACCAUAGGAUAUGAAUAUGUGUGUGUGGCAACUGUUCUAAUGGACUUUUCAGCCUAUAUUUUCUUUGUCCACUUGGUUGUCUCCAAGCAAGAAAAAUUCUAAGCCAUCAAAGUGACAAAUAGUCAAAUAUACAUUUUCUUAAGCAAGUCAACAGGUAAGGCUGCCUACCCUACAACUCAUUAAAUAUUUAUUUCUCCAAGCAAGUCAAAUACUUUUUUUGCUGUUGCAGUUGCAGGGUUUCAUAGUUCAUUAAUGAUAGCAAACUGUGGCGAUAGGACCUUAGGUAAUUGAAUAGGCCACAUGAACUGUGGUAGGUGUGAGGUGAUUUAAGAGAAGUAAAUAUCUCGCUUACCAACCAAAAUUUUAUUUUUCAAGUAAAACUUGUAAAUUCUAAUAAUGUAACAACCAAAAACAGAGAAAUAUAGCAAAACAUGAUGGUCAAUAGAUUAGAAGAAUCAAUCUUCAACCGUGUUUAAGUCAAGAAUUGGUACCAGUUAUUAUUGCAAAUGACAGUAAUGUAUUGACCAACAUGGUGAAGAAUUUACCUAAACACAUUUCCAUUGAGCAAAACAUAAAAUUCUUCUGUUCAUUUCACACAAAUAGUCUACGCCUGCAGCCUCUCCAUAGCUCAAGAAUUAACUAAUAAAAUAAUCUGUUUCUGUUUCCCUAAUUUCUCAGCUUCUCAUGUCUCAAUAAUGAACUCUACCCAAAGCCGCUCGUAAUGCCUCUCACAAUGAAAUGAAGUCUACGCAGCUUGAAAAUACACAACAGCAAAUCUAUAAAUACCAAAACUAUUCAUACAGUAACAAAAAAGCCCGAAUGACACUACGAAUAAAAGAAAAUAAUAUAAAAACUUGCACACUUCAGGAAUGGGAAAGCCAAGGGACCCCUGAAUCAUUUUGGCUAUUUACAGGACCAAAAUCAUAAAAGAGAAAAUGAAAUAUAUUUUCCAAAUAGGAAAUUAUUUUCAACUGAAGGAAGAGAAGGAGAAACUCACAACAAAAUGUCUUCAAGAGCCAUUCCAAUGUCUAAACCUGCAUAUUCCACGUUGAUUUUCUGCAAAAGAAUCACGAAGAGACUGCACCAUGAAAUAUACAACAGGAAUCUUACCCAAUUCUUCAUCCUGCAGUUGAAAAUUUCAUUUAUCAUUCUUGGUGCAGUGUGUGCACAUUGCUAUGCAUGUGCAAAAGAGAGAGAGAGAUGUCAUACCAGUUCGGCAAGACACACUUCAAAACUCACAGAAUUAGCAUCAACGGACAUGAAUAUCUUUCUGUAAGCCAAUCUCAGACUCCUAAUAUCAUUCCCCAAAAAUAUAUGCAGGUCAUUCAAACAACAAACAAAAAUAUGGAGUAUUAAAGAUAUAGAAAGCAUAGAAUAGGAGAAUGAACAAAAAUGGAAAGAGGAAGAAGAAAUAUCAGGUCAAUCAUUAAUCAGAAAUUCACCAAUGUCUUCAAUCUUGUUGCAUCAAAAUAAAAAGAAUUUCAAAAACCAGCUGAUGCAUCCACCAAAAACAACACGAGGCAGACAUUAAAUUUUAUUACAGACUUCCUUUUGUACCAUCAUAAUUUUUCAAAUGAUGAUUUUCACAAUACGCUCAUUUAUCUAUAUCAACAACCUUGAGCAUAUAUUCCAUCCCAUCAAAAGAAGGCUCCUCGCAUAAAUCAUGCACUUACUCCAGCCAAGACCAUGAAAGCCAAACAAGUACUAGAAUAUCAAAUCUGACUCUCAAGUCUCACCCCAGAUGCCAAAUCCCUCUCUGCCAAAGAAACAGUGCAGCAUCUCAAGGCUGUGAUAUGCAAGUUCAUAUUAUUAUAUAAAAACUUGCAAACCUUCAUCAAGAUUCGCUAAAAAUCUCUUUUGCGAUGUUUUCAAGUUAUAUUCAAGAAACCAUGGUGGUACACUUUAGCUGCCUUGCAAAGCCAUCAGAAUGAAAGUAACGACUGACCUCUGUGGCUGUGAAUCCAUGUCGUUGAAGACCCUCCAAAUUCAGACCAUGAAACUCAGCUCUUUCUCCAGCCACCAUUACAUAUUUAGGGACAUCUUGCGAAACCUUCAGCCAUAACAAAUACAUUUUCAUGACAGAAAAAAUUUCUUCUAUUUUAUAUGUUCUAAUAUACUCAUUUCAAAUACAUUCAGCAAAACACGCAAUUAUGCAACAAGGACUUUCAGUCUGGCAUUUUUUUGCCCUAUUGGACACACCAAUAUGUAUAAAUAUCAGUGGUAGACUUGUCCAACACCACAUGUCCGCAUUGCAAAAUGAAAAAUCAAAACCAAAAAAUAGUAAAAGAUCAUACCAAAGCUCCACCACCGAUAAAAGAAAACCAAACAAUAUGGUAAAAUUGAUGAACAACAAUAGCACCAGCAGUGUGAAUAUAGUCUUGCAUUUGCAGCACCUCAAUCAAGUUCUAAUCAAACAAUAGAUAUGAAAUAUUAGUAAAUUAACAUGUUGAAUAAUGUUAUCAAUCCUGAUUGUUAUGAGAUAACUAGAUAAGCUAAGGACUUACUUCCACAAUAACAUGACCAGCUAGAAAAGUAUUAUUAGUAAACAUGUUAUUGUUGCCAAUGUUGCAGUCAUGGGCAAUAUGACAAGACCCCAUGAACGUCAAAAAAUGACUAUGGCAUAUAAAAUACAUUGGCACACUGGCCAUACCGUUCUCUCACUUGACUUUGAAGAUAGGUGAAUUGAAGAAUGCUCACUGAUUUCAUUGUUAUAAACAAUGUCAAGAGAACAUUCAUCCACUGGCCCUGGCUAAAUGCAAGGAUCAAAAAAAACAAAAAGAGGCUAUUUUAAAUAGAAAACAAUUCUUAAAUUUCUAAAUCACUGCAAGAGGGCAGACUCUGCUAUACAUGAGCAAAGUAUAUACAUGAUAAUGCAAAUGCAAAAACUGAUGAUGAUGAUGACAAACAUAUAUAUGAAGAUUGAACAGAAAUACACUCAAAAUGUUUUGGUGUACAUUGUACAUAUGUGCAUGAUUACAACUCUUUCAAACCAGUAACUAACCGAAACAACUUCUUAAAGGUGAACAAAAAUAAGCAACAGAAAUCUGAAACAAGCAACAGAAAAGCAAGGGAAAAGAGUUGGCCAUAUGCAUCCAACGCCAUGCUUCUGUAAGUAUGUUAACCGGAAUUGCAAAUAUUUGCAGAUGUUAUCCAUAAAGUAUAGAAAUUAUAAGUCAGGUCAGCAGAUGAUCAAUGUAAGCAAGAUGAGAUGUUAAUAGAAUUGAAACCACAGGUAACUAGAACAGGGAAUAUCGCCAUUUGCAAAAUUCUUACCAAUUCAAGCAAAGUAAACAUGCCUUAUUCUGAAAUAUCCGGAACAAGCAACACUUUGUCAAUGUUGCAAGACGGCAUUUUGCUUUCUUAGCAACCAAAAUGAUCCAAAGGACCUGAAGAAUAAGUAAGUCAUCUGAAAUUUUUUACUCAAAGGGACCAAAAAAUGACAUAAAAAGCAGCAGAUUCUCAAAUUCCCUAGCCCAAUUGUAUAUUUGUCCCCUUAUAACUAGUUGAAGUACUCUAAAUCAUACAAAACAUGCUUCACAAACAAGACACAUAGACAACCAAAUGCAGUGACAAAAGUUGACAAGAAGACAUAAACUAAAUUAGAUAAUGCGUAUAAUUAGAAGGAAAACAAACCUUGUAUUUCAUAUCUUGGCAUUUAACACCAACCACAGCAUGAUGACCAAUUAUGUUAUUAUGUCCUAAAACCGUGUGUCCUGGAAGUUCAUCACCAACCACAGCGCCAGUCAUCAAAACACAGCGCUCCCCUAACUCUGUAUUUCCAAAAAUAUGGCUUCCAGGAUACAAUUGACAACCAUUUCCAAGCUUGGCAGAUGAUCCAACGGUGCAGAAGGGACCAAUCGAAACACCCUGGCCAAUGAAGGCAUUUGGGUGAACGACUGCUGAGGAGUGAAUGAAGGUAGGAUUCUCCAGUGGUGAAGCUUCUGGUGUCCUCUCGUUCGAGGCAUAUGUAAGUGCAGUUGAGAAUCGUUGCAGAGGGAAGGAGCCAAUAGCCCUGCGGAUUUUGAGGAGAGAAUUCAUGGCCAUGGCGGAAGUUACUAAGACAGAAUCAUUACAAAGAGUGUCCUUCCA